AAGCCCCGCAAGGGGUAAGUAGAGUGGCAAACGGGUGAGUAACACGUGGGUGACCUGCCUUCGAGUGGGGGAUAACGUCCCGAAAGGGACGCUAAUACCGCAUGACAUCCUGCUUUUGAAAAAGCGGAGAUCAAAGCUGGGGAUCGCAAGACCUAGCGCUUGAAGAGGGGCCCGCGCCUGAUUAGCUAGUUGGUGAGGUAACGGCUCACCAAGGCGACGAUCAGUAUCCGGCCUGAGAGGGCGGGCGGACACACUGGGACUGAGACACGGCCCAGACUCCUACGGGAGGCAGCAGUGGGGAAUUGUUCGCAAUGGGCGCAAGCCUGACGACGCAACGCCGCGUGGAGGACGAAGAUCUUCGGG
rnacentral:rRNA from 1 species